CUGACAGAAGAGAGUGAGCACAUGCUGAUAGUGAUUGUAUCAGGGCAUACAAUUGCAAGUGUGUGCUCACUUCUCUUUCUGUCAG
rfam:Vigna radiata var. radiata cultivar VC1973A chromosome 7, whole genome shotgun sequence